CUGCUCCCCUCGAGCCCGCGUGCCGUCACGCUGUCUGCGAGCCACGUGUUCGGCUGGGAUGAGGGGAAUCGGCCGUUGUUCACUCUCUAAUGUUUCCAGGACCUUGGGAUGUCACACCAGGACAAAACGAGAAGGUUGGGUUUGGAGUCCCUGUCUUAUUAAAAGAGAUCAGAUUCUGGUGUGCGACAAAUCCUUGGCAGUUAUGGAGACUCGCAGGGAGCAGCUGCCUGUGUGGAAGUGCAGCAGGAUCAUCCGUGUGAAUAAAUCAAUAGCAAUUCCCAGGAUUAUUGUGAUUACAACCUGUUUAUAUCACAUUACAUAAUGGGUUGCAGGCGCGGACGGUCCCCCAGCUCUGGCUGUGCAAACAGCUGUGCCCUGUCAGAAGUCCUCAGUGUCAGAUGCUCCCAGGAGCGCUGCGGGAACGGGAUGUCCUCCAGGCAAAGCAUCGCUCUCCAUGCCCCAGGCAAGCAGGAACGGGCUUGUACGGGAGCUUGGAUGUGCUAGGCAGGUGCUGGUGCUACAGCGUUUCAUGAGCUCUGACCUCCACAUGGUAUCAGAGGGCCCAUCCAGAUCUGGAGAAAUGUCCUUCAGUUUAUGACUCGCCCUCUGAGUUACGCGUGUGCCCCUGCAGCCGGCCAUGGGGCCUGAUGAUCUUCCACCGCGGCCCCACCUUCCAUAAUUCCUGUAAAACAGCAUUUGCUGGUCCACAAACACAAUACAGAGCCC
rnacentral:lncRNA from 1 species